GUAGUCCACGCCGUAAACGAUGUCGACUUGGAGGUUGUGCCCUUGAGGCGUGGCUUCCGGAGCUAACGCGUUAAGUCGACCGCCUGGGGAGUACGGCCGCAAGGUUAAAACUCAAAUGAAUUGACGGGGGCCCGCACAAGCGGUGGAGCAUGUGGUUUAAUUCGAUGCAACGCGAAGAACCUUACCUGGUCUUGACAUCCACAGAACCUUGUAGAGAUACGAGGGUGCCUUCGGGAACUGUGAGACAGGUGCUGCAUGGCUGUCGUCAGCUCGUGUUGUGAAAUGUUGGGUUAAGUCCCGCAACGAGCGCAACCCUUAUCCUUUGUUGCCAGCGGUCCGGCCGGGAACUCAAAGGAGACUGCCAGUGAUAAACUGGA
rnacentral:rRNA from 1 species